AUGGGCAUGGCCAAAGCUCAGCCCUGGACCCAAACCCUGACCCUGGGCCCCAAACUGGGACCCUUGCAGUUCAUCCUCCUCCUCCCACGUUUCUCAUCCCCAUCUCCCCUUGUUCCCUUUGGGGCUGCGGGCGCGGCCGUGACCCUGCUGGAGCCCGGGGGCACCUCCAGCCCCCCGGGGGCUCCCUGCGCCUCCUCUGCCGAGGCUCCGGCUUCGAUUUUGGGAAAUUUGGGAUGUACUGGGUCCGCCAGAGGCCCGGGCAGGGGCUGGAGUGGCUCGCAGGGAUCAACAGCGAUGGUUCUGGCACCUACUACGCGCCCUCAGUCAAGGGCCGGUUCAGGAUCUCCAGGGACAACGGGCAGAGCUCGGUGACGCUGACCAUGAACAGCCUCAAGGACGAGGAUUCCGGCUCCUAUUUCUGUGCCAAACGUGACAAUGGUUAUGCUGGUGGUGCUGCUGCUCUUUUUGGCCACAAUUCCUGCAGCGGUGCCACCUCCAAGAUGGACCCCAAUCUCGCCAUGGGGCUCAGCCCGGGGCGCUUUGGGCCCAAAGCUUUUUGUGCAGCUGCGGCUCUGCUGAGGCGCCCGGCAGCUGAACUCCCCUCUGUCAAACACCGGCGCUAA